AACGAACGCUGGCGGCAUGCCUAACACAUGCAAGUCGAACGAGACCUUCGGGUCUAGUGGCGCCCGGGUGCGUAACGCGUGGGAACCUGCCUUUAGGUUCGGACUAACUCAGAGAAAUUUGAGCUAAUACCGGAUGAUGUCUUCGGACCAAAGAUUUAUCGCCUUUAGAUGGGCCCGCGUUGGAUUAGCUAGUUGGUGGGGUAAAGGCCUACCAAGGCGACGAUCCAUAGCUGGUCUGAGAGGAUGAUCAGCCACACUGGGACUGAGACACGGCCCAGACUCCUACGGGAGGCAGCAGUGGGGGAUAUUGGACAAUGGGCGAAAGCCUGAUCCAGCAAGGCCGCGUGAGUGAUGAAGGCCGUAGGGUUGUAAAGCUCUUUUACCCGAGAUGAUAAUGACAGUAUCGGGAGAAUAAGCUCCGGCUAACUCCGUG
rnacentral:rRNA from 1 species